AUUGAACGCUGGCGGCAGGCCUAACACAUGCAAGUCGAACGGCAACAGGAAGAAGCUUGCUUCUUUGCUGACGAGUGGCGGACGGGUGAGUAAUGUCUGGGAAACUGCCUGAUGGAGGGGGAUAACUACUGGAAACGGUAGCUAAUACCGCAUAACGUCGCAAGACCAAAGAGGGGGACCUUCGGGCCUCUUGCCAUCGGAUGUGCCCAGAUGGGAUUAGCUAGUAGGUGGGGUAACGGCUCACCUGGGCGACGAUCCCUAGCUGGUCUGAGAGGAUGACCAGCCACACUGGAACUGAGACACGGUCCAGACUCCUACGGGAGGCAGCAGUGGGGAAUAUUGCACAAUGGGCGCAAGCCUGAUGCAGCCAUGCCGCGUGUAUGAAGAAGGCCUUCGGGUUGUAAAGUACUUUCAGCGGGGAGGAAGGGAGUAAAGUUAAUACCUUUGCUCAUUGACGUUACCCGCAGAAGAAGCACCGGCUAACUCCGUG
rnacentral:rRNA from 1 species